rnacentral:rRNA from 1 species
ACAGCAGCAGCCGCGGUAAUACGUAGGUCCCGAGCGUUGUCCGGAUUUACUGGGCGUAAAGCGAGCGCAGGCGGUUAGAUAAGUCUGAAGUUAAAAGCUGUGGCUCAACCAUAGUACGCUUUGGAAACUGUUUAACUUGAGUGCAAGAGGGGGGAGUGGAAUUCCAUGUGUAGCGGUGAAAUGCGUAGAUAUAUGGAGGAACACCGGUGGCGAAAGCGGCUCUCUGGCUUGUAACUGACGCUGAGGCUCGAAAGCGUGGGGAGCAAACAGGAUUAGAUACCCCCGUAGUCCCUGUCUCUUAUACC